rnacentral:rRNA from 1 species
GUAGGGAAUAUUGCAUAAUGGAGGAAACUCUGAUGCAGCGACGCCGCGUGAGUGAUGAAGGCCUUCGGGUCGUAAAGCUCUGUCGCAGGGGAAUAUCACAAUGAAGGUACCCUGUAAGAAAGGAUCGGCUAACUUCGUGCCAGCAGCCGCGGUAAGACGAGGGAUCCUAGCGUUGUUCGGAAUCAUUGGGCGUAAAGCGGAUGUAGGUGGCUAUGUAAGUCAGAUGUGAAAGCCUGGGGCUCAACCCCAGAAGUGCAUUUGAUACUGCGUAGCUUGAGUGUCGGAGAGGUUACUAGAAUUGUUGGUGUAGUGGUGAAAUACGUAGAUAUCAACAGGAAUACCGGAGGCGAAGGCGGGUAACUGGCCGAACACUGACACUGAGAUCCGAAAGCGUGGGGAUCAAACAGGAUUAGAAACCCGGGUAGUCC